rnacentral:lncRNA from 1 species
CUUUAUAAUACAAAAUUAACAUGUUUAAAAGAUACAAACUAUAAGUUCAUACAAAUGGCUAAAUGAUUCGGGUGUUUUCACAAGCAUCAUGACCUUACAAUUUUUUUCGGAAAGCAUUCCCUAUGUCUAGCCAUUAUGUCCAAGGGCGUCAUUUAGACGUUUCUGCACAGUGGCGUCUUUUAUAUGAAUACACACUUUUUCGACUAGGCAGUUAACAUAAUUCCGAGAAAUUUUCUUUCAAAAAAGGUUUGCUAAAUCAAAAUUACACUCAGAUUAAAAAAAAAUCACACACAUAAAGAAUAGACCUUUUAUAGACACCGGGAAAAAGGGGGAUGGGCUAGGGAUAAUUUCUUAUGGACAAAAGUUUUCACGCAAAUCACGC